AGCCUGAACUUUCUCAUCUAACACCUGUUCAAGUCGGAGGAUGCUGAUUAAUUCAUGAUGGAAAGGUAUCAAUUUCACAGCCCAGACUUCUACAUUCUUGAAAUGCUGUUCUCAUGGGAGACAUUAAAUAAGCUUUGAAAUAACUGAGACGUCUGUGGAUUCUAUAACUCAAAGACCCAGGCUGAUGGCUGGUGGAAUAGCUACCAUCUCAAACAUGGCGUGAUGCUGCAUCAGAGGGAAAAAUAAGCUCUUGCACUGGCAAUGAAAUGUCUACCCUGUAGUGACUUGUGCUUACUUCCACUCACAAAUGAUUGCCCAGAGCUACUUACCUGGCUCCAAUCUACCACUGGUGUUGGAGGUGGGUCCUGGUGUGAGGUGAUUGGAUUAUGGAGGUGAAUUUCUCAGGAAUUGUUUAGCAUCAUCCCCUAUGGCCCUGUCCUUACAUAGUGAGUGCCAUGACACCCAGGAUGCAGCUGUAGGAACACCACUGGGUCCCUGGAUAUCAUGUAAGCCCUUAAGUAAAGGUGCCAUCAAAUGAUUUCUCAGAAAUUAUAAAGAAACAAAAGGACCAUAAACAAGAUAAGGUGGCACGAGGAAACACUAAAAGUACCUUUCAGAGCUGACUGGCAAAGAAACUCCUGAGGUGAUGGUUCUACCCCAAUAUUACUUCUUCCAAGAGCAACCUAACUGACCUUGUAUUGAAGACAGCAUAACCCCCAAGAGGAAAGGAGCUUGGAGCCCUGAAUCAGAGUAGAAGAC
rnacentral:antisense_RNA from 1 species